AAAUUAAGACCCUAGAACAGGCAAAAAAAAAAUCGAAAAAAACCACUGCUUUUGGUGGAUACCUAAGGACUCAAAGAUGAUGAAGGGCGUGUUUACCUGCGAAAAUUUUUGGUGAGUUGGAAAAAAACUUUAAUCCAAAAGUUCCCUAAUGGAGCAAUCCUUAAAACUGCUGAAAAAAUUCAUAAAUCAGUAAGAAAAAACUUAGUGAACUGAAACAUCUUAUUAACUAAAGGAAAAGAAAGCAAACGCCAUUUCCUAAGUAGCGGCGAGCGAAAUGGAAAGAGUCAAAACUGACUUGAUCAGGGUAGUGGGACUUCAAAAAAAAAAUAAAUAAAAAACAUAAAAAACAGCUGAAACCUGUACCAAAGAUGGUGAAAGUCCAGUUUUAUUCGUUUUUUUGUAUUUUUUGUAUUUGUAGUAUCCCAAGUAGCUUGGGACACGUGGAAUCCCUUGUGAAUCGGCGAGGACCACCUCGUAAGACUAAAUACUCUUGAGUCACUGAUAGGGAAAAGUACCGUGAGGGAAAGGUGAAAGAGACCCCCUACCGGGGAGUGAAAUAGAUCAUGAAACCGAAAGCAAUCAAUCUGUGGGAGGAUUUCUGACCACAUGCCUGUUGAAGAAUGAGCCGGCGACUCAUGAUUUUUGGCUUGGUUAAAGUUAAUUUCUGUAGCCUAAGUGAAAACAAGUCUGAAUAAGGCGAAUUUCAUAUGAAUUCAUAUGAGUCAAAAAUUAUGGACCCGAACCCGAGUGAUCUAACCAUGACCAGGAAGAAUCUUGGGUAAAACUAAGUGGAUGUCCGAACCGACCGAUGUUGAAAAAUCGACGGAUGAGUUGUGGUUAGGGGUGAAAUGCCAAUCGAACUCGGAGCUAGCUGGUUCUCCCCGAAAUGCGUUGUGGCGCAGCAUUUAUGGAUGAUCUCUGAAGAGGUAGAGCACUGUUUCAGUGCGGGCCUGUCAAAAGGUACCAAAUUGUGGCAAACUCCAAAUUCUUCAGAUACCAUAACAUAAUCCAAAUCCAUAAAAAGUGAGACCCUGGGGGAUAAGCUCCAGGGUCGAGAGGGAAACAGCCCAGACCAUCAGUUAAGGCCCCUAAAUAAUGGCUAAGUGUUAAAGGAGGUUUCGAUGCUGAAACAACCAGAAGGUUCGCUUAGAAGCAGCUAUCCUUGAAAGAAUGCGUAAUAGCUCACUGGUUAUUUCUUGAUUCAAGAAUAAGCGUCGAUGCGCCGAAAAUGUCCGGGACUAAGCUUUUUGCCGAAACUAUGGCCCCAUUGAAGGGGGGUAGGGGAGCGUUCUGUUUUGAGGUGAAGGAUUUUUGAAAAAAAAUGAUAGAUCAAACAGAAGUGAGAAUGUCGGCUUGAGUAACGAAAACAUUAGUGAGAAUCUAAUGCCCCGAAAACCUAAGGUUUCCUCUUCAAGGCUCGUCCAGAGAGGGUUAGUCAGGACCUAAGAUUAGGCUGAAAAGCGUCAUCGAUGGGAAACAGGUCAAUAUUCCUGUACUUAAGUUUAAUAAAAAGACAAGGGACGAAGGCAACAAGUUCAAGCUCCCCAAAUGGUUCAGAGCGGAAAUGUUCGACAUAUAGUUCGAAAAAAAAGUCGAACUUUGGGCAGUGUAUCUUGAUAUUGGUUUCCAGUUAUUUUUGUGCAGUCUAGGUGGGACCCUUCCCACUGCGAGGUGGACUAUGGGGCCAGUGAGAGACCACCCUUAAAUAACUAGGAAUCUUAAAGUGAUUCCUUGAAGCAGGACACUUGACAGUGUCUGGAGGGCAGUUUUUUUGGGGCGAAAAUCUCCCAAAAGGUAACGGAGAUUUGCAAAGGUUUCCUCAAACUGGACGGAAAUCAGUUGUUGAGUGUAAAGGCAAAAGGAAGCUUGACUGCAAGACUUAUAAGUCGAGCAGAGGCGAAAGCCGGCCUUAAUGAUCCGACGGUGAAGCAUACUGCGUCCUUGUGGAAGGGCCGUCGCGCAAAAGAUAAAAGUUACUCCGGGGAUAACAGGCUUAUCUUCCCCAAGAGUUCACAUCGACGGGAAGGUUUGGCACCUCGAUGUCGGCAAUUCGCAACCUGGGGCAGUAGGUUGUCCCAAGGGUUGGGCUGUUCGCCCAUUAAAGCGGAACUUGAGCUGGGUAGACAGUUUGGUCUAUAUACGAUGUAAGCGUUAGAAUAUUGAGAGGACUUUUCCAUAAUACGAGAGGACUUGGAAGAACGUACCCCUGGUGUACCAGUUCUUAUACCAAUAGGACCCGCUGGGUAGCUAUGUACGGAAAAGAGAACUGCUGAAAGCAUCUAAGUAGGAAACUUACCUCAAGAUGAAUAUUCUCCAUUAGACUCCGGUGAGAUGAACCGGUGAAUAGGUUUUAGGUCGAAGAUUUGUAAAAAUUGGAGCCAAGAAAUACUAAUGAUCAAUUGUUUUUGAU
rnacentral:rRNA from 1 species